AAUUCGCUCGUUAAACGACGGUGGUUAGAAUGGAGCCAUUGGAGGAGGGAUGAAGUGAACAGAUUAGAAAAACGUACAUAAAAUAAUCUCACCGGUGCAUUGUGGCCGGUACGACGACGCUUGUCCUUUGUCCGUCCGGAGAAUGGCGUUCGUGACGUUUAGCGUUUUUAAAGGUUGUCCGGGCUGCUGGCGUACGUAACUGGUGCAAG